UACGUAGGGUGCAAGCGUUGUCCGGAAUUAUUGGGCGUAAAGGGCUCGUAGGCGGUCUGUCACGUCGGGAGUGAAAACUCGGGGCUUAACCCCGAGCCUGCUUCCGAUACGGGCAGACUAGAGGUAUGCAGGGGAGAAUGGAAUUCCAGGUGUAGCGGUGAAAUGCGCAGAUAUCAGGAGGAACACCGGUGGCGAAGGCGGUUCUCUGGGCAUUACCUGACGCUGAGGAGCGAAAGUGUGGGGAGCGAACAGG
rnacentral:rRNA from 1 species